rnacentral:rRNA from 1 species
AACGGACGCUGGCGGCAUGCCUAACACAUGCAAGUCGAACGAGAUCUUCGGGUCUAGUGGCGCACGGGUGCGUAACGCGUGGGAAUCUGCCCUUUGGUUCGGAAUAACAGUUGGAAACGACUGCUAAUACCGGAUGAUGACGAAAGUCCAAAGAUUUAUCGCUAGAGGAUGAGCCCGCGUAGGAUUAGCUAGUUGGUGUGGUAAAGGCGCACCAAGGCGACGAUCCUUAGCUGGUCUGAGAGGAUGACCAGCCACACUGGGACUGAGACACGGCCCAGACUCCUACGGGAGGCAGCAGUGGGGAAUAUUGGACAAUGGGCGAAAGCCUGAUCAGCAAUGCCGCGUGAGUGAUGAAGGCCUUAGGGUUGUAAAGCUCUUUUACCCGGGAUGAUAAUGACAGUACCGGGAGAAUAAGCUCCGGCUAACUCCGUGCCAGCAGCCGCCGUAA